UACGUAGGGUGCAAGCGUUGUUCGGAAUUACUGGGCGUAAAGGGCUCGUAGGCGGCCAACUAAGUCAGACGUGAAAUCCCACGGCUCAACCGUGGAAGUGCAUCCGAAACUGCGAGGCUCGAGUAUGGAAGAGGGUCGCAGAAUUCCCGGUGUAGAGGUGAAAUUCGUAGAUAUCGGGAGGAAUACCAGUGGCGAAGGCGGCGACCUGGGCCAAUACUGACGCUGAGGUGCGAAAGCGUGGGGAGCAAACAGG
rnacentral:rRNA from 1 species